GAGUGUUAAAUAUGCUAGUCCUUUCAUGAUUAUGUGAUAGGUGGUGSAUGGCCGUUCUUAGUUCGUGGAGUGAUCUGUCUGCUUAAUUGCGUUUCACUAAGGGCCCAUAAAUUCAAGGUAUGUUAGCUCUCGUCGCUCUAUGGACCCCUUAACUCCAAUAUUCUUAUUGUGUUAAGCGCGUGUCUUUAUUUUAAGAGUUUUAAGACACUGCGCAUG
rnacentral:rRNA from 1 species